rnacentral:rRNA from 1 species
AGCAGCCGCGGUAAUUCCAGCUCCAAUAGCGUAUAUUAAAGUUGUUGCAGUUAAAAAGCUCGUAGUUGAAUUUCGGGAUCAAUUAGUCGGUCGUGCCUCUGGUACGUACUGGUUUUAUUGGUUCCUCCCUUCUGACGAAACAUGAUGUCAUUAAUUUGGUGUCGUGGAGAAUCAGGACUGUUACCUUGAAAAAAUUAGAGUGUUUAUAGCAGGCUAACGCUUGAAUACAUUAGCAUGGAAUAAUGAAAUAGGACGUUCGACCCUAUUUUGUUGGUUUCUAGGAUCGACGUAAUGAUUAAUAGGGAUAGUUGGGGGCAUUAGUAUUCAAUUGUCAGAGGUGAAAUUCUUGGAUUUAUUGAAGACUAACUACUGCGAAAGCAUUUGCCAAGGAUGUUUUCAUUAAUCAAGAACGAAAGUUAGGGGAUCGAAGACGAUCAGAUACCGUCGUAGUCUUAACCAUAAACUAUGCCGACUAGGGGUCGGAUGAUGUUAAUUUUUUAAUGACUCAUUCGGCGCCUUA